rnacentral:lncRNA from 1 species
UUCUUUCUCUUCCUCUAUAUUAUCCCCCUUCUCCCCAUAUGUCUGUCUCUUCCUCGAUAUUACCCCUUCUCCCCAUAUGUCUUUCUCUUCCUCUAUUAUACCCCCUUCUCCCCAUAUGUCUUUCUCUUUCCUCUAAUUAUCCCCCUUCUCCCCAUAUGUCUUCUCUUCCUCUAUAUUAUCCCCCUUCUCCCCAUAUGUCUUUCUCUUUCUCUAUAUUACCCCCUUCCCCCAUAUGUCUUUCCUUUCCUCUAUAUUAUCCCCCUUCUCCCCAAUGUCUUUCUCUUCCUCUAUAUUCCCCUUCUCCCCAUAUGUCUUUCUCUUCCUCUAUAUUAUCUCCCUUCUCCCCAUAUGUCUUUCUCUUCCUCUAUAUUAUCUCCCUUCUCCCCAUGUCUUUCUCUUCCUCUAUAUUAUCACCCUUCUCCCCAUAUGUCUUUCUCUUCCUCUAUAUUAUCUCCCUUCUCCCCAUAUGUAUUUCUCUUCCUCUAUAUUAUCUCCCCUUCUCCCCAUGUCUUUCUCUUCCCUAUAUUAUCUCCCU